GCCAUGGUGGUACAACGGUUUCAUGCUCAACUGUCAUCUGAAAGGUUGGUGGUUCAAAUCCACCCAGUGGCU
rnacentral:tRNA from 1 species